rnacentral:rRNA from 1 species
UCCGAAGGGGGCUAGCGUUGUUCGGAAUUACUGGGCGUAAAGCGCGCGCAGGCGGUCCUUCAAGUCAGGGGUGAAAGCCCAGAGCUCAACUCUGGAACUGCCUUUGAGACUGUAGGACUUGGGUACGGGAGAGGUGAGUGGGAUUCCGAGUGUAGAGGUGAAAUGCGUAGAUAUGCAGAGGAACACCAGUGGCGAAGGCGGCUCACUGGCCCGUUACCGACGCUCAGGCGCGAUAGCGUGGGGAGCAAACAGG